GAUGAAGAACGUAGCGAAAUGCGAUACGUAAUGUGAAUUGCAGAUUUCAGUGAAUCAUCGAAUCUUUGAACGCACAUUGCGCCCGCUAGUAUUCUGGCGGGCAUGCCUGUUCGAGCGUCAUUUCAACCCUCAAGCACAGCUUGGUGUUGGGACUCGCGUUAAUUCGCGUUCCCCAAAUUGAUUGGCGGUCACGUCGAGCUUCCAUAGCGUAGUAGUAAAACCCUCGUUACUGGUAAUCGUCGCGGCCACGCCGUUAAACCCCAACUUCUGAAUGUUGACCUCGGAUCAGGUAGGAAUACCCGCUGAACUUAAGCAUAUCAAUAAGCGGAGGA
rnacentral:misc_RNA from 1 species